GCCCUGGUAGCGCAGUGGUUAAGCAUUUGGCUGCUAACCAAAAGGUUAGUGGUUCAAAUCCAUCAGCUGCU
rfam:Loxodonta africana unplaced genomic scaffold scaffold_0, whole genome shotgun sequence.